rnacentral:misc_RNA from 1 species
UACAGAGGCCCAUAGCGUUGUUCGGAAUUACUGGGCGUAAAGCGCGCGUAGGUGGUUUGUUAAGUUGGAUGUGAAAGCCCCGGGCUCAACCUGGGAACUGCAUCCAAAACUGGCAAGCUAGAGUACGGUAGAGGGUGGUGGAAUUUCCUGUGUAGCGGUGAAAUGCGUAGAUAUAGGAAGGAACACCAGUGGCGAAGGCGACCACCUGGACUGAUACUGACACUGAGGUGCGGAAGCGUGGGGAGCAAACAGG